AUUCCAGCUCCAAUAGCGUAUAUUAAAGUUGUUGCAGUUAAAAAGCUCGUAGUUGGAGUUCAGAGUGAGCUCAAUCGGUCGGGAUUAUGUCUCAGAACUGGUUGACUCUCUCUUGUUUGUGGAUCCUGUUCGGAGUUAACUCUUCGGAUGUGGAGUCCACAUCGUUUACCUUGAAAAAAUUAGAGUGUUCAAAGCAGGCGUUUGCUUGAAUAUAUUAGCAUGGAAUAAUGGAAUAGGACGCUGGUUCUAUUUUGUUGGUUUUGAGAACCAGAGUAAUGAUUAAUAGGGACAGUUGGGGGCAUUCAUAUUUCAUUGUCAGAGGUGAAAUUCUUGGAUUUAUGAAAGAUGAACUUCUGCGAAAGCAUUUGCCAAGGAUGUUUUCAUUA
rnacentral:rRNA from 1 species